rnacentral:rRNA from 1 species
GUGUCAGCCGCCGCGGUAAUACAGAGGGGGCAAGCGUUGUUCGGAAUCACUGGGUGUAAAGGGUGCGUAGGCGGUCCGUUAAGUCUGAUGUGAAAGCCCUGGGCUCAACUCAGGAAUGGCAUUGGAAACUGGCGGGCUGGAGUACUGGAGAGGGAAGCGGAAUUCCUGGUGUAGCGGUGAAAUGCGUAGAUACCAGGAGGAACACCGGUGGCGAAGGCGGCUUCCUGGCCAAGUACUGACGCUGAGGCACGAAAGCGUGGGGAGCGAACGGGAUUAGAUACCCUUGUAGUCC